rnacentral:rRNA from 1 species
GACGAACGCUGGCGGCGUGCUUGACACAUGCAAGUCGAACGGAAAGGCCCUGCUUUUGUGGGGUGCUCGAGUGGCGAACGGGUGAGUAACACGUGAGUAACCUGCCCUUGACUUUGGGAUAACUUCAGGAAGCUGGGGCUAAUACCGGAUAGGAGCUCCUGCUGCAUGGUGGGGGUUGGAAAGUUUCGGCGGUUGGGGAUGGACUCGCGGCUUAUCAGCUUGUUGGUGGGGUAGUGGCUUACCAAGGCUUUGACGGGUAGCCGGCCUGAGAGGGUGACCGGCCACAUUGGGACUGAGAUACGGCCCAGACUCCUACGGGAGGCAGCAGUGGGGAAUAUUGCACAAUGGGCGGAAGCCUGAUGCAGCAACGCCGCGUGCGGGAUGACGGCCUUCGGGUUGUAAACCGCUUUCGCCUGUGACGAAGCGUGAGUGACGGUAAUGGGUAAAGAAGCACCGGCUAACUACGUG